UUACGGCCACAUCACGUUGAAACACCGGUUGCUGUACGAUCAUCGAAGUUAAGCAACGUCGAAUUUGGUUAGUACCUACAUGGGUGAUUGUUUGGGAAUAUCAGGUGCUGUAA